rnacentral:rRNA from 1 species
UCGGAAGGAACCAGCUACUAGAUGGUUCGAUUAGUCUUUCGCCCCUAUACUCAAGUCUAUCGAUCGAUUUGCACGUCAGAACCGAUACGAACUUCCACCAGAGUUCCCUCUGGCUUCGUUCUGCUCAAGCAUAGUUCACCAUCUUUCGGGUCGCAACCUGUACGCUCUACCUCUGCCCAAAAGCAAGCUUUCGAGACAGGGCGAUGGUGCGCCAAGCUAUAAAGCAAGGAUCCCAUCUCAGCCGAUUAAUCGACCUUUACUUUCAUUUCGCCGUAAGGUUUAACACCCUCUGACUCGCGCACAAGUUACACUCCUCGGUCCGUGUUUCAAGACGGGACAGAACGGUGAUCGACAUUAACACCGGUUCUCACCCAGAGGGCAAGCUAAACACUGACACGGCAGACCAUUCCAGAAAGCAAGAUACCACACGAAGGUGGGCAACACUAACUAGUCAGGAAAGCUCGGACAGCGCAACCAGCGCAGCACCACAGCUACAUGGCCGGUAAAACCAAACCACUUCACUGCUUAGCAAUUUCGACUCGUUCUGCUUCAACUUCAGGGAUUUCACGUUCUCUUGAACUCUCUCUUCAAAGUUCUUUGCAACUUUCCCUCACGGUACUUGUA